UGGGGAAUAUUGCACAAUGGAGGGAACUCUGAUGCAGCGACGCCGCGUGAACGAAGAAGGCUUUCGAGUCGUAAAGUUCUUUUAUAUGGGAAGAUAAUGACGGUACCAUAAGAAAAAGCCCCGGCUAACUACGUGCCAGCAGCCGCGGUAACACGUAGGGGGCUAGCGUUGUCCGGAAUCACUGGGCGUAAAGGGUUCGCAGGCGGAAAUGCAAGUCAGGUGUAAAAGGCAGUAGCUUAACUACUGUAAGCAUUUGAAACUGCAUAUCUUGAGAAGAGUAGAGGUAAGUGGAAUUUUUAGUGUAGCGAUGAAAUGCGUAGAUAUUAAAAAGAAUACCGGUGGCGAAGGCGACUUACUGGGCUCAUUCUGACGCUGAGGAACGAAAGCGUGGGUAGCAAACAGG
rnacentral:rRNA from 1 species